rnacentral:tRNA from 1 species
GGAGAGGUGCCGGAGUGGUCGAACGGGACGGUCUCGAAAACCGUUGAAGGCUCGCGCUUUCCGUGGGUUCGAAUCCCACCCUCUCCG